rnacentral:lncRNA from 1 species
AUUCCCGUCUAAUUUGAAUUUUUCCCCUGGAGUUAAUUGGCCGACUUGGGAGAAGGGAGUCGGUGAGAUAUGGCCAAGUGGUAGGGGAAGAGAACGACAAAACCAACAGGUGUAACACACAAUGGCUCACUUUUUAGUAUUCCAUCAUCCAUCGAUCAGAGAAGUGGGAAGAAAGAAAACCUCAUUUUCUGCCGAGGCGAAAUGUUACUUCCCGAAAGAUGUAAAAUUAAAUAAAUAUAUUCUGCAAAAAUUUUAAGCCAGGAAACGACAGAACUUACAGCAGAUCCGCACGUCUAGCUCGGGCAGGUGCUAUCAAGAGAGCUAUCCGUCGACAGUACAAGUGAGUUUCACUGUCAUGGAGUUGCUCUCUUUAUAGGCGUGCUCACACAUCUUCAGACUCGGGACCAUCAGCCGAUAAGACAAAAUCAAACUUUGAUCAACUGUUGACAGCAUUUCUAGUCCACCGAGUUUCACCACCAUUACUGUCAACACUUCAAAUUCAAUUUUUUCUCUUUUUUUCUCAUAACGCAUUUUAUCUUGGAGGUAUGUAGUUCUGUAAAAACAAAGUAGUCUAAAUAAUAAUAGACUGGGUUUUGGUGAAAAGUACAACUGGUGCAAAGAUGAACAGACAAAAUAAAAACAAAGGACAAUAACAACACUGACAGAUCAGAGAAAAAUAUUUCACACAGGAAAUAAUAUUUACAAUAUGGUUCUUUAAUAGCCGUAAAUUUUAUUGUACCUAGCCUACGUUAUCAAAAUGAAAAUUAAUUGUCAAAGUAAAACAUUCAUCCCAAACUGUCCUUCCAUUAAUUAUUCCUGUUAAUGGACAUAAACAUUAGAUUAUAAAAUAAUAUCUGAUCGGUCAACGUUAAGGUUGAGGAUUUAUGCUGCACAACUGUACAUAAAUUUCAACUCUUCUAAUUUUUAAAUUAAAAAAUUGAUAUUUUGGCUGGUGUUAUCAAAGAAAACAUUUUAAUAAUUUAAUUCAAGUAAGUAUUUGUCAUACAUGUAUAACAUAUUUUGAGGGAACCAAACCACAAAGGCUUUCCCGUUUUUUUUUUCUUUUAAUUUUUAGAUAACAACAUGAACUACCGAAAAUUUUUGUAGGUGUUGUGUUGCUCAACCCUUCAUUGACCGAUAUAUUUUCUUACAAAUUUUUCUUCAUUAUUUUUUCCAAUAUUUUUUAGUUGCUAAAAUCUAAACAAUCUAGGGCAUAUAAUACUUACAAAUUUCAAAAUGUGUAAAAGGCGGUAUAGCAA